GACAGAGGUGCCAAGCGUUAGGCGGAAUCACUGGGCGUAAAGCGCGUGUAGGCGGUCCGUUAAGUCGGAUGUGAAAUCUCUGGGCUCAACCCAGAAAUCGCAUCCGAUACUGGCGGACUUGAGGAUGGUAGAGGUUGGUGGAAUUCCCGGUGUACCGGUGAAAUGGACAGAUAUCGGGAGGAACACCAGUGGCGAAGGCGGCCAACUGGGCCAUUCCUGACGCUGAGACGCGAAAGCCAGGGGAGCGAACCGG
rnacentral:rRNA from 1 species